UAAACGGCGUCGUUUAUAACAUUCUAUAGAGACUAAAUUAAACCCUAAAAUCAGCAGAUGUUUUGAUCGUUUUUAACAAAAAAAUUAAAGACCUCAAUGCUUCUUAGUGCCGCUCCGUCCUUCUGUAUCCCCGUCCGAUCUUCGACGAUGACGAAGUGGACAAGGAUUCGGCGCCGCGACAAAGGUAAUAACCUUUAACUCUUCUUCUUCUCAAAUCUGAUUUUUUUCUUUUCUUGAUUUUUUUCUGUAUUUCAGUGUGCGCAUAUGGAAAAGAGAGCAAGAACAGAACGAGAAAAAAAAAGACUCGAAAAUCACCUCUAAAGGCUCAGUCUUUUUUUUAUUUUUGUAUUGAUAUUAUGCGUAAUACAAUAUGCGUCCUUACAAAUAUUUCGUAAUGGCUUUAUAUGGCCAAAAAGGAAAAAUAAAAAUCCCUCUUUUGUUUUUUUUUUUCUCCCUGCUAUUACGAUUUUGAUUCGCUCCCCUCCUCUCUACUGCGUUUUUUUCCGUGUGUAUUUUCUGCUGUCUCUGCUUUUGUUUGUUUGUUUGUCCUUUGCAGAUACGGCGUGCAGGAGGGCCAACUGGUGUGUACAGAGGCGUGUGGCGUGGCUCGGCUCGGAGGCGGCUGAGGCGUGUGAAGGCUCGUGGGGCCGAGGGAAGGCUGGAGGCGCGCUUGUGGGCUGUUGGCGGCGGCUUGGUUUCCAGAAACCCUAGGGUUUCUGUUCUUGGUUUUGGGCUUAGGAGAUUUGGGCCAGGGUUAGGUGUUUUUGGACUGACGUUUAGUGGGCUUGGGUCAAUGGGUUUGGGUUGUAACCGGGCUUAGGGUUGUAUUUUGGGUUAGGGUAGAGUUGGGUAAUUUAAAUGGGCAAGAAUAAUUUUGUUUUGGGUUGAAUUUGUAAAGAAACUGGACAUUUAUUAUUAUUUAUUUUAUAUAUAUAAAUUUUUUAUUUUGGUUAAUACCAAAUUUGGGCUUUUACAAUAA
rnacentral:lncRNA from 1 species